AACGAACGCUGGCGGCAUGCCUAACACAUGCAAGUCGAACGAGACCUUCGGGUCUAGUGGCGCACGGGUGCGUAACGCGUGGGAACCUGCCCUUAGGUUCGGAAUAACUCCCCGAAAGGGGUGCUAAUACCGGAUAAUGUCUUCGGACCAAAGAUUUAUCGCCUUUGGAUGGGCCCGCGUUGGAUUAGCUAGUUGGUAGGGUAAAAGCCUACCAAGGCGACGAUCCAUAGCUGGUCUGAGAGGAUGAUCAGCCACACUGGGACUGAGACACGGCCCAGACUCCUGCGGGAGGCAGCAGUGGGGAAUACUGGACAAUGGGCGAGAGCCUGAUCCAGCAAUGCCGCGUGAGUGAUGAAGGCCUUAGGGUUGUAAAGCUCUUUUACCCGGGAUGAUAAUGACAGUACCGGGAGAAUAAGCUCCGGCUAACUCCGUG
rnacentral:rRNA from 1 species